rnacentral:rRNA from 1 species
GUCUACGGCCGUGCCACCUUGAACGAGCCCGAUGUCUGAUCUCGGAAGCUGAGCAAGGUCAGGCCUGGUUGGUACUUGGAUGGGGCCGUGCAUGGGGGGACCAGGUGCUGUAGGUG